GACGAACGCUGGCGGCGUGCUUAACACAUGCAAGUCGAACGAUGAACCCGGAGCUUGCUCCGGCGGAUUAGUGGCGAACGGGUGAGUAACACGUGAGUAACCUGCCCUUGACUCUGGGAUAACUGCUAGAAAUGGUAGCUAAUACCGGAUACGACCCUCGGUGGCAUCACCAGGGGGUGGAAAGAAUUUCGGUCAAGGAUGGACUCGCGGCCUAUCAGCUAGUUGGUGAGGUAACGGCUCACCAAGGCGACGACGGGUAGCCGGCCUGGGAGGGUGACCGGGCACACUGGGACUGAGACACGGGCCAGAAUCCAACGGGAGGUAGCAGGGAGGAAUAGUGCACAAGGGGCGCACGCCUGAUGCAGCAACGCCGCGUGAGGGAGGACGGCCUUCGGGUUGCAAACCUCUUUUAGUAGGGAAGAAGCGAAAGUGACGGUACCUGCAAAAAAAGCACCGGCUAACUACGUGCCAGCAGCCGCGGUAA
rnacentral:rRNA from 1 species